rnacentral:rRNA from 1 species
UGGGGAAUAUUGCACAAUGGGCGCAAGCCUGAUGCAGCAACGCCGCGUGAGGGAUGACGGCCUUCGGGUUGUAAACCUCUUUUAGUAGGGAAGAAGCGAAAGUAACGGUACCUGCAGAAAAAGCACCGGCUAACUACGUGCCAGCAGCCGCGGUAAUACGUAGGGUGCGAGCGUUGUCCGGAAUUAUUGGGCGUAAAGAGCUCGUAGGCGGUCUGUCGCGUCUGCUGUGAAAACCCGAGGCUCAACCCCGGGCCUGCAGUGGGUACGGGCAGACUAGAGUGCGGUAGGGGAGAAUGGAAUUCCUGGUGUAGCGGUGGAAUGCGCAGAUAUCAGGAGGAACACCGAUGGCGAAGGCAGUUCUCUGGGCCGUAACUGACGCUGAGGAGCGAAAGCGUGGGGAGCGAACAGGAUUAGAUACCCUGGUAGUCCACGCCGUAAACGUUGGGCGCUAGAUGUGGGGACCAUUCCACGGUUUCCGUGUCGCAGCUAACGCAUUAAGCGCCCCGCCUGGGGAGUACGGCCGCAAGGCU